UUUUCCCACUGUAAAGCAAGGGGGUCAGGUCAUCCUUAGAUGUAUACAUUGCAGUUACAGUUUUUUCCCCCACCCUUUCUUCUGUUGCGACAUGAGUAUCUAGACAUAGUUCUCAAUGCUAUUCAGCAGGAUCUCCUUGUAUAUCUAUUCUAGGUUGUGUCUGAUAUACUUCAAUAAAAUAAAUUUUUAAAAAGAUGUCUACUGAAAGGAAACACCUAAACACAAUACGCACUAUAUUUUUGGGGUUUUUUUUUUUUGCUUUUUUACGGCCACACGCAUGGCAUAUGGAGGUUCACAGGCUGGGGGUCUAACUGGAGCUAUAGCUGCCGGCCUACACCACAGCCACAGCAACUCGGGAUUUGAACUGAAUGCUCAACUUACACCAUAGCUCACGGCAAUGCCAGAUCCUUAACCCACUGAGCGAGGCCAAGGAUCCUCCACCCCAAGUCUUCAUGGAUACUAGUCAGGUUUGUUUCCUCUGCGCCACGCAGGAACUCCCACAAUACAUCAUAUGAAUCUCUGGAAUAAAACAUGGGAUAAAAUCUCUGAAAUAGAAUGGAGAGGAAUACAUCUACUCAAAGAAAAGUGGUCUUAAAAGACUGAAUGAUAGGUUACUUAUCUCUGUGCACUUAACAUUGGUAUAACAACAAGUGGAUCUAAUGAGACGAAGUGAUGUGUUUUUAUCCCUAUGAAUGAAGUGUUUAUGAACACAAAUGCCUGUAUCUGGAGUGUUACUAGAAUACAAGCAAUUGCACCUAUUAAAACGAAAAAUUCAGAGACAAAACUUAAUGAAACAUUUUUCCCCUAUGAAUGCAUUGCUGGCAGAUCAGAAAUAAGCAUCUGCUGAAACAAACUGCCAUAAGCAACACUGAAUGAUGUUUUGUAUCUCUAUGAACGGAGUUUUGAUAAACCAAAAUGAAUACAUCUACUUAAAUAAGAAUGGUUUACACAAAAUCUAAGUUUACUUGGGAAAACUAUGUUAAAAAAAAAAACUGAAUCAGUGAGUUCCCACUGUGGCUCAGAUGGUUAAGAACCUGACAUACUAUCUGUGAGGAUUGGGUUCGAUCUCCAGCCUAGCUCAAUGGCGUAAGGAUCUGAUGUUGCUGCAAGCUGUGGCACAGGCUGCAGAUGCAGCUUGGAUCUGGUGUUGCUGUGGUGUAGGCCAGCAGCUGCAGCUCUGAUUUGACCCCUAGUCUGGGAACUUCCAUAUGCAGCAAGUGUGGUCAUAAAAAAGAAAAACAAACUGAAUUAGGCAGUUCUCUUGUGGAGCAGCAGGUUAAGGAUCCAGUGCUGCCACAUCUGCGGCACAUGCCACAACUGCACAGGUUUGAUCCCUGGCCUAGGAACUUCCAUAUGCUGCAGGAGCAGCCAAAAAAAGAAAAAAAUUUUGAAUUAUAGGAGUUCCAUGAUGGCUCAGCAGGUUAAGGUCCAGUGUUGUCACUACUGUUACUCAGGCUGCUGUCACGGUGUGGGUUUAAUCCCUGUCCUGGGAACUUCCGCAUGCCCCAGGUAUGGCCAAAAAAUUGUUCUUAAUUGAAUUGUUAUGCAUCUCUAUGAAAAGAGUGUAGAAAAAUAUCUUCAAUGAAAGGAUAAAGCAAAACAUAAAAGUGCAUGCUAUUAUCUAUGGAUGGAGUGUUCCAAAACAAAAAAUUUAUCACUAUCUUAAAUGAAAGAAGUAAAUACAAAACUGACAGAUUUUUGGUUCCCUUAAAUACCCAUCCCUGGGUCCUGUUAGAAGCCAGACCCCCUGGCACAGCUCACCUCAGAGAUAAGAGUCAGUUAAGUGAUAAGCCCAGGGACUGCCUGGGUACAUUCACAGCACUCGAGCCCUCCGGGCAGUCAAAACACCACCCGUGGUGCUUUCUUGUAACAUGCCAUCAGGAAACCACCUACACACACAGGCGCCGUCACAUCCUGUCACAUGGCCCCUUCAGGGGAUCAAAUUGCCAGUUCAGAGAUCAUCUGGUCAAAGUCAUGUCUGUCUGGCUAGGAUCAAAGCACUGAACUAAAGCUCUCUCCAGGUCAGUCCCAUUCUGUAAGUGCAACCUCCCAUCCACUAUCCCACAUCCUGCAUCCCUGCCCCUCAUCAACACGAACUCGCCCUACCCAGAGGACUAUAUGUUCCAUGAAAUCAGUCAGACACAGAAAGGCAAAUACUGCUAACGAUCUACUUGAUAUGGAAUCUAGAAAAAUUAAAUUCAGAAUUCCCUGGCAGCUUACUGGUUAAGGAUUCAUCAUUGUCACUGCUGUGACUCAGGUUUGAUCCCUGGCCUGGGGAACUUUUGCAUACCAUGGGGAUGGCCAAAAAAACCCCAAAAAGUUAAAUUCACAGAAACAGAGAGUAGGGUGGUGGUUGAGGGAAAUGGGGAGAUGUUGGUCAAAGGGCCCAAACUCAGUUACAGGAUGUGAAGACCUAACAUACAGCCUGGUGAGACUGUCAUUAACAAUAAUGUAUUAUAUCCCUGAAAUCUGCUAAGACAGUGGGUCUCAAAUGUUCUCAUCAGACACACACAAUGGUAACCAUGUGAGGUUGAUAGGGAUAGAGCAGGAUAAUUAAAUAGUUGAGAAAUCCCAAUAGGGGAUUAAAGAUAGAAAGGGAAUUUUAAGAAUUUGGGAGACCUUUGUAAGCUAAUGACCACUCAAGAAAAGAAUCCAGUAACCUAGCAACAAUCUGCACUACCUUAAAGGAGGAUCAGAUGCAUUCGAGUGCCAGGCACACCCAAGCCCACACAUCCCGAUAGUUAAAGCACAAGACAAUAGAUGUGGGGUCUGCAUCUUCUUAUGCAAAGUCAGGGAGUUAGCGGUCCUCGAAGAGCAGCAUUUCUGCAUGUAGCCAAGAUAGGAAUACAGGGGAAAGGGGAAAGAAACUCCAUGGUAGGGGACCUUACAGAGAAACUUGAGGUGAAUUACCUUAUUUUAGUGUACCACACUUGGCGUACAUGCGAUUUAAUAGCUAUGAUGGUCCUGGUUAGGCCAUAUAGGGUUAAAGAAGGAACUGAUGAGGUAAGUCUUAAUAUCUACCCAAGAAUGCUCACUCGCCAUUGUUCCUUUGAUUGUAAAAAUGUAGCCCUCUUUGAUCUCGGGGGGCGGGGGGGGGAACCUGUGGUUCUCACAAGCAUCCGAUGCUAAUAAGCCUACUCUGCCUGCCACGUUGCCUCAUGCUGAAUUCUUUCCACACUGAAACUAGAGAACCUGAGCUUCAGUAAGUCCAGCCACCAGGUGAGUGGUUUCACUUAAAAGACAGGGGUUUGAGUUCCCUCCUUAGUCAGGGAUCUUGGGUUCAAGUCCCAAUCUGAGGGGUGGCUGAGGUCGAGUCCUAUCUGAGAAGGACUUCAGUGAUGGCCAUGUUAAUCAGCUUCACUGCGGUAAACAUUUCACAAUAUAUACAAUAUACAUCAAAAUAUCACAUGGUGCACCUUACAAAUACAAAUAUAUAUAGUUUGUAUUUGUCAUACGUAUACCUCUAUAAAGCUGGGGCACGGACAAAGAAAUACAAUGCUGAUGUGCCCCGACCCUUUCCAGACAACCUGCUCUCCUAUCCUGUUCCUGGCACCACGCUCUCUACUCUUCCUGCUGAAAUGUGCAAAUCUCACAUAAAGUCCAACAGCUGACUCUUCUCUCAAUCUCACCCGAUUCUCAGUGCUAUUCUUAGCUAACUAAGCGUUAGGAAUACAGCAUGCAUGAACCCUGCCCAGAGGGGCCUGCGUUUUUUAAAAGGUACUUUUUAACCCAAAUAAAUCUUUAAUUCAAGGGUGAGUUGUGUUUUUGAGUGUUUCUGUUUGCAUGACAGUCCUCACAGAGGACAGCAAUACUAGGACUCCCUUCUAUGAAGUGGCCUAAAGGAGCUUCCUGGAGUUUCCAGUGUGGUUCAACGGGUUAUGAACCUGACUAGUAUCCAGGAGGACACAGGUUUGAUCCCUGGUCUGCUCAGUGGGUUAAGGAUCCGAUACUGCUGUGGCUGUGCUGUAGGCUGGCAGCUGCAGCUCUGAUUCAGCCCUUAGCCUGUAAAAAGAAAAGAAAAAAAUUUAAAAAAGGAAUGGCUUCCUUUUUGCUUCCCUAGCUUCCUCACUGAAUCCCCAGACACUAUUAUGGGUCGAUUUAUCUUGGGAAGUUUAUUAAAAACACAGAAUUGGAGUUCCCAUUGUGGCGCAGCAGAAACAAAUCCAACUAGGAACUAUGAGGUUACAGGUUCGAUCCCCUGGCCUCAGUCAGUGGGGUAAGGAUCCAGCAUUGCUGUGAGCUGUGGUGUAGGUCACAGACGUGGCUCGGAUCUGGUGUUGCUGUGGCUGUGGUGUAGGUUGGCAGCUGCAGCUCCAAUGAGACCCCUAGCCUGGAAACUUCCAUAUGCCGCAGGGCCUUUGCACUUGCUGUUCUCUCUGCCUGGCACACUUGUUCCCACAGCUCCCUCCCUCACCCUCUGUGGGCUUUGCUCAAUGACACCCUCUCGGGGAGAUCUUCUCAAGUUCUGCACCCAAUUCCAGUGGGUGCAGUGUUCCCCACCACCAAGCAACUCCCCAGACACCAGCUGGGUGCUCUACAAUUUGACUGACAACUAACCCUAUUGCUACCAAGCCAGGUUCAAUUUCCCCAUGUGCAGCCAGCCAACUGCUAAGAUGCUGAGGUUUGCAGCAGAGAAAGACUUUACUCACAAGGCAGCCAAGUGAGGAGCCGGCAGAACACGCCUCAGACCUGCCUCCUUAAAGGCGAGGUGUUUGGGUGUAUAUGGGAUAAAGACGCAGGGUGGCCUUAGCCAUGGGGAAGGGUGACGGGACACAGGGGGAAAAGGUGAGGUAAUCAGUGUCCCGAAAAGGCCUAUGAGUCACGUGUUUCUUCCUGAGACACGUGUUCAAAAGUGGAGGCAUUAGCAUGAUCUGAGGGUGGAGUUUGCAGUCCUCUGAUAUCAAAAAGUCAUUCAUCCAACACCUGCCCACGCCCAGUUUUAGGCUCGGUGGUCCCAACCAGUCUCAUCGAAAAUGAGCAGAGCCCUGUAGGGCCACCCCACUCGCAGGCCCCUUCAUGUGUUCUCACCUCCCAGCUUAAAAAAAAAAAAAAAAAUUCAAACUUUUAGUUUCCCUGGCCUCUCAAGUUUCAGAAAACAGACUCAAGCAAUUAAUCAUUUAAGAAGAGGCAAAAGCAGGAACUAAGAAAAGGCAGCUGAGCAAGGAAGGAGACAACAACUUAAGCAAUAAGUAAAACUCAAGCAUCAGGGUCAUAAGGCCCCAGUUCUCCUCGAGAAAAACAGAUAACAAGGUCUGACGCAUAUUCUUAAGUGUUUCUUACAGAAAUCAGACUCCUACAAGGGGGAAACUGCUGACCCUAAACCUGUAGACCACUGACUAGUUGGAGCUGGAAAACUGAUGAGAGAUUCCUGACAUACCACUACCCUCUACCAAUCAGAAAACCGUCCGUGAGGAGCUCCCUGGUAGUCUGUUGGUCAGGGCUUAGCACUUUCACUGCUU
rnacentral:lncRNA from 1 species